GUAAUGCCGUCCGUAUAAAAAAAUCUGGGACAGUGCCGUGAUUCCAAACCUCAAACCCUAAAGCCUUCGGCCGCACUUCAGCGAGUAUCCAUCCGGCAAUGGGGAGGAAGCGAAAGCUCACGCCAAAACCUGCUGAAUCCGUUGAACCCCCAUUGAAGCAACAGCAUCAACAGCAGCAGCAGCAGGAAUAUGAACCAGAAGCAGAGCAAACUGUUGAAGACCAAGAUAACGGAGCCGAGUAUGAGGAAGUUGAAGUGGAAGAAGAGGAGGAGGUAGAAGAAGAGGAAGAGGAGGAACAAGAACCAGAAGGAGCCGGAGAUGAUAGCGCUAUUCCCGAUCACUCCCAAAAUGCGAAUGACCUGGCAUCUAAGCCCCAUUCAACAUCCGCGGCUGCAACAUCAGUAACCGGUCCACAUGGAAAGGACGACGAUGACGACGAGCCGAUACAUAAGCUUCUGGAACCGUUCAGCAAGGAACAAAUUUUAAAUCUGCUGUACGAAGCGGCGAAUAAACAUCGCGAUGUAGCGGAUCGGAUCCGCAAGGUGGCUGACGAGGACCCCGUACAUCGAAAAAUCUUCGUACACGGCCUCGGAUGGGACACAAACGCUGAUACCCUCAUCAACGUUUUCAAGCAGUACGGUGAAAUUGAAGAUUGCAAGGCUGUAUGUGACAAGGUAUCCGGUAAAUCCAAGGGGUAUGGCUUUAUCCUCUUCAAAUCGCGUCGUGGAGCUCGCAAUGCGCUGAAGCAACCGCAGAAGAAGAUCGGGAAUCGAAUGACGGCCUGUCAGCUGGCUUCGAUUGGCCCGGUUCAACAGCCAGUUGCUGCACAAUCAACCCCGACACAACCGGUAUCAGAGUAUACCCAAAGGAAGAUUUACGUUAGCAAUGUUGCGGCCGAUUUAGAUCCUCAGAAAUUGCAUGUCUUUUUUUCGAAGUUUGGGGAGAUCGAGGAAGGACCAUUAGGGCUUGAUAAGCUGACUGGGAAACCAAAAGGGUUCUGCUUGUUUGUGUACAAGAGCAUUGAGAGUGCCAGAAAGGCAUUGGAAGAGCCUCAUAAGGAAUUUGAGGGCCAUAUGUUGCACUGUCAGAAGGCAAUAGAUGGUCCAAAGCCGGGAAAGCCUCAAUAUCAGCAACAUCAGAAUCCUCAGAGAACCCAAUUCCAGAGAAAUGAGACCACUUCAUAUGUUGGUGGGGCUGCUACCGGGCAAGGGCAUCUGAUGGCACCGGCGGGACCUGGUAUGGGAUUUAACCAGCAGGCGGCUGCACAGACGCUAAGCCCAGCCCUCGGGCAGGCUUUGACAGCACUGCUUGCAACUCAAGGGGCUGGAUUGGGGCUGACCAAUUUAUUGGGAACUCUAGGACCAGCUGCUACAGUAAACCCGGCUGUUCCUUCUGCAGGCCAUGGAAUGCAGGGUGGUUACAGUAACCAACCAAAUAUAAGCUCGGGUGUCAUUGGUGGAUAUGGAAAUCAAAGUGGUUUACAGGGGACAUAUCCGAACCAGCAGGCCGGACAAAGUGGUUCUGGAAGAGGGCAGCAUGGUGUUGGCCAAUAUGGUGGCGUUGCCCCUUACAUGGGGCACUAGGUAAAGGAGCAUGAACCUUAGAGUUUGAUGAUGAGUUGAUGCUGUUCAUUGAGGUUGAUGUGUUUUUACAUGAACUAGGAAGAAGAACUUGGGGUUUUUUUUUCCCGGUUUGCUGCUAAUUCUUUGCAUUGGAUGAAAGCAUCAGAUUCAUAUUCUUAAUAUGAUCAUCUCUUCUCGCACGGUUUUCACUACAUAUACAUAGUUAGAUAUCGACCCUUAUUACGCCACUACCUGAUGUUCCAAGCAAAUUCCACAUAAUCAGUCUUUUAUUACUGGCCUGGUGAUUCUUCUGAAGUUUAAGGAGCUGAUGCAAAUGGCGUCUUUAUAAUGAAAUGUUACUUACUACAAUGAUCAGUAUUUAAACUAUCAAAUGGAGUUCUGUUUUCCCCAUCUUUUUCCAUCCUGGCUUCUAUUUCAAAAUAUUGUAUUUUAACUUUUUAUUCAUCUUUAAAAACCCUUUGGAACUGUUUUAGACUUUUAGUGCCGUGAAUGUAGUUUUAUAUGUACUUUGGGGGAGUUUCAGAUGAUGAACAAAAGACAUUUUAGUUUAUCCCUGUAUGUUUCACUAUGCUCGCACUUAAUAUUCUAUAAUCUAUAUAACGGGGUGUUAUUUUC